AUGAAUCUAAAUCCAGGUGGAAAGUAUGCAGGGCUGAAGUAUUGCAGAGAAGUUUUUUCUGAGCUUUUUCUAUAUAAGAUGGAGGGUGAGGAUGCUGUAGUUUUGGAGGGUUUGAAAUCUGUUAUGAAAAUGAGGGGUUUAUGCACUAUUGUAGGUCGGAUUAUGCGAGAAGGAAGAGCUAGAUUUCAUAGAAUUGGCUAA
rnacentral:lncRNA from 1 species